rnacentral:tmRNA from 1 species
GCCCUUUUCACGGCAGGCGGAGCACCUUAUAUUCCGAUUGCCGGCUUCGGUCGGCUACGGCGAUAAACGGCCGAUGUAAUAAGCCUUUCGGACCCGGGGGCGGUACCCGGCGCCUCCACCUGGCUUCAUCGUAAUGUGACGAUGAGGCCAGGCGGGGGCGAAAUAGGAUCGACGAGGGUGUAAAAAUCGGACUUUCGCUCGGAAUGGUACCGCCGUUAUCGGGCCGUUUUAUAGUUGCAAACGACAACUAUGCGGAAGCACGUCUCGCUGCGUAAGCAGCGCGAACGCUUCAAUUCAAGUCCUGGGGGUUCGCACUUCUAGGCGGGGCUCGGAGGCGCCUGGCAACAGAAGCCUCCACU